rnacentral:rRNA from 1 species
CGUUAUCNGGAUUUACUCGGGCGUAAAGCGCGCGUAGGUGGUUAGAUCAGUCGGAUGUGAAAGCCCCGGGCUCAACCUGGGAAUUGCAUUCGAUACUGUCUGACUAGAGUUUAGUAGAGGAAAGUAGAAUUCCAGGUGUAGCGGUGAAAUGCGUAGAGAUCUGGAGGAAUACCAGUGGCGAAGGCGGCUUUCUGGACUAAAACUGACACUGAGGUGCGAAAGCGUGGGUAGCAAACAGGAUUAGAUACCCUGGUAGUCCACGCCGUAAACGAUGUCAACUAGCCGUUGGGUCAAACUAUGACUUAGUGGUGCAGCUAACGCAUUAAGUUGACCGCCUGGGGAGUACGGCCGCAAGGUUAAAACUCAAAUGAAUUGACGGGGGCCCGCACAAGCGGUGGAGCAUGUGGUUUAAUUCGAUGCAACGCGAAGAACCUUACCUACCCUUGACAUCCUCAGAACUUGUUAGAGAUAACUUGGUGCCUUCGGGAACUGAGUGACAGGUGCUGCAUGGCUGUCGUCAGCUCGUGUCGUGAGAUGUUGGGUUAAGUCCCGUAACGAGCGCAACCCUUAUCCCUAGUUGCCAGCACAUGAUGGUGGGAACUCUAAGGAGACUGCCGGUGAUAACCGGAGG